GGCCUUCUUUGGAGGAUUGGGAACUGGAUUGUGCUGGUUGGAGCUCAGGCACCUUCACUGGGCUGGUCUCAAGGAGGAAUGCUGAGAGGAGCAGGAUGGGAAGGAGCCCAAGGGCUGAGGGUGUCAGCUCUGGCACAGUGCAGGGGUGGAGGUGGAAUUUGGAGCUCUCUUGCAUCUCAGUGCAUUUGGGAUGGCUUGAGAAACACAGAGAAGAUGAGGGAGCUGCACUGCCUGACUUCAGCCUCCCAGUGUCUAGUGCCAAGAAGAGGAAGGAGAGCACAGUAACAGGGGAGCAGAGCACAGGAUCAUUCUCCAGCCCCAACCUCCCUGGGAGGAGGAGGACACUUCCCAUUGCACACCCGAGCUGCAGCAUCAUCUACUGGCUUGCUCCUUCCAUUCACCCCAGCUAUACCCCUGAGGAUCCUUCUCAGUCAGUGCAGGAUCACUGCUAAUUCUCAUUCUCCAUGAGUUGGCUGUGAUAGCAGUGAUGCCCGCAGCCCCCCGGGAGCUGCCAGCCCUGCUGCUGGAGCCGUGGUGUGUCUGCAGGGCGCCCGGCGGGUCAGCAUCUAAGCAGACAAGAUGGAUGCACAGCACAGCUGAAAGAAACACAGCGACUCCUGUUUCAGAGGCAGGAGAAAUGGAGCAGAAAAAAAGAUGAAGGCCCCGAUCUCCACCGUGGAAAGUUUUGCUGACAAAAGUUUGAGUGCAUCCAUGAACUGGGGAAUUCCCUGGUUGGGAGUGAACCAGGCAGCAGGGUCAGGGUUCCCCCAUGUGCAGUGCCUGGUGCUGCUGUUACAGGGAUGUCUGGGCUCAGGGCACUGAGAUGUGCAGCCACUGCUGGUCCUAGCUCAUGCCAGAGCUCUAGUGCUCCCACUGCAGCAGGGAGGGCAGAGCCAGGUGGAAGGUGUCCAGUGCUGAGUGGGUAGGCACUGAGCCUAGGGAUGGGUGCUAGGGGCAGGACUCUCUCCUCUAGAAAGCAGGGGAUGCCAUUUGGGAUUGCAUGUCUGGGGGCUAGCGCUGUGGCUUCUCAGCAUGGGGAGAAUGUGCAAAAGGAGUCAGCAGGCUGCAGCCAGCUGUGAGCUGGGGAUGGGGUUUGAACGGGUGACCUUGCUGCUGGUUUAGAGUAUGGCAGAGCUCCGCAUGGGGAUGGGGGUGAGAGCAGCCUCCAGAGGAUGCUCCAGCAGAAGGCGUCUUCACAGCCUCUAUCCACCGGAUCUAUUUGAAGCCCUGGUGAGGAAAGACUGCAAAGAGCCUGCAGUCAGGGUGCGUGGGAUUUGGGCAGAGGAGAAGGGGAAGGGAGUUCAUGCACUGACAUGAGGAUGCUGCUGUGGAUGACAUGCUGGAUGGGAAUGCAGGGCUGGUGUGGGGGAGGAGGGGGGGCAGAGGGGGGGCUGCCUACAUGGCCCCCUGGUACUGAGUGCUGAUGCUUCUUUUUGUGCUGUCUGACAGCAAGCACCUUGUGCGCCCACACAUGUGUGCCUGCAUGGCCGGCGGCCCCACACGUAGCCCUGCAGGUGGGAAUUGAUGCAAACAUAUGCUGCCAUUAAUGUGAAAAUCACUGCUGCAAACAUGAGGGGCUCUCUAUUCAUGGCCUUCCCCUCUCUUUGUGGGGAGGAAGGGGGGGAUCAAAUGCAGAGCUUUUAUCUGAAAUCCAUCUCAGGGCCUGGAACAGAUGAGGGGGGAAUUGGGCUGAAUGUGAUUGGGGUGGAAAUGGGAAAACAGCCUAGGCUGCCCUAUGGGAGAUGCUCUCCUGCCACGAGCUGUGCUAGGUCUGCAGUGCUGCCUAUCUCAACACCUCCCUGGUGCUCCCAGUUCUGCACUUGCCCACUGCUGAGGAAUACAUGGGACUGGGGAGAAUGCUGUGACCAGAUGCCACAACGAAGGGUGAUCCUACCAGAGCUGAGGGGCAAAGUUCCAGGAGAGCAGUAUAUUCCCCUUUCAUGGUUAGACGAACCAUCAGUGCUGAUGACAGGUGCCAGGGCAGUUCUGAUGACGAGGGUGGGAGCACCCAGUCUGCCCCAAAGCAUGGCACAUUCCUUUGCCAACCCUGGUGCAUGUAUGCUGAAUUCCCCAGCAUCUGGCCUUUGCUGAUAUCUAUUUGUUGGAAGCUGGGUGCAUCUCUGAUUUGGGAAAUCAAUCACACUUAAUUGAAGGGUGAUUGUUUUCACAUACGAGCUUGCCACAUCACUUUCAUCUUUAUCACAUUCCCUUUCUCUCUGGGUUUUGUGUGACAAGAUACUGCAGUGCAGGAGGGAAGGGGUCGCUGACCUUGGACCUGGAUAUAAUUGAAAAAAGCAGGGCAGCGUCUCCUUUCUUUCCUCGGGUGGAUCAGUUUGCAUUUCAUUCAGCUGUCGGACAGAGCACAUGUGUGAGCUCAGAGCCAUGUUCAAUCCCAUCUCCGUGCUGCAGCAGUGAAUGGUGCCCAUCAUUUGGGGAUGUUCUCUUUUCCCUCUUGUUCUUUGUGGUCCCAUUGGAAGCUGUCCUGCACCUGGACUGAGCCCGUUAUCUGGUCUGACGCUCACCAAGGCUCUGAUGGCCUUCAGGAUCGCCCAUUACACAGUGCAUGAGCAAUCCCUCCCGGUGAGCCUCAGCCCAAGCCCACCCUGUACAUCCCAGUGGGAUACCGGUCUGAAGGGCUCACAGCACACAGAGCUGUCUUUCUGUCUGCACCAGCAAGCUGAACUGCAAGCUGCUCCCCAGCCUCCGGUUUGAAGGUCUCUAUAGUAUUGACUUUCUCGCUCUUGGAAGUGGCUCAUUUAU